GACGAACGCUGGCGGCGUGCUUAACACAUGCAAGUCGAGCGGUAAGGCCCUUUCGGGGUACGACGAGCGGCGAACGGGUGGAGUAACACGUGGGUGGACCUCGCCCUCCAGCUCUGGGAGUAAGCCUGGGAAACCGGGUACUAAUACUGGAUAUGACUCCAUGACGCAUGUUGUGGGGUGGGAAAGACCUUGUGCGGCUGAGGA
rnacentral:rRNA from 1 species